AUGCAGCACGAAAAGGGAGAAACCAAGCUUGACCCAGAGGCUCAGUCUCCAUCUUUCAAACCCUAAAGUCAGACCUGGAGUUUCUGACCUUGGACAGAUGCAGAGGUGGGUGCUUCAUGGCCAGAUGUGAAGCCUUGCUGACUAUAUCAGGGUACUCUGUAACAGCAGAGGUUCUGAUGCUAAGAGCAGCAAUACCUCCUCUUUACAUUUGUUGUUUUUAGGUAUUUUAGUUGUUUACAAGUGGGUUUUAGGGCUUGUGUUUGUGGGUUGAAAAUCGAACCAGAUGAAGCAUGGUGAAGGAGGAGGAAGAUUGUGGGUGAUGUGCUACCUGGAAAAGUCCACAUCCAGCACUUGAUGCUGACGGCCUUUUGUAAAGAGAUGCAGAGAGAGGAAGGCUUGAGUGAGCCACCUGGAAAGGACACAACCAGUGUUGCAGUAGAUUUGAGUGCUGAUUCGCAGCCCAUGGGAGCAGGACAGACAUAAAAUAACGGCAUCGUCGGAGCUUGCCCUGACCUGGACCACAUCCUGUCCUUCACUGUGCUGUCAGAAGGGAAGCUGUGCUGUGAGCCAUAUGUGUGUAGGCCUGGAGUUUGUGAGAUCUCUGCCCUUGAGAACUGUGCUGAAACCCGACACAUGUAACUGGUCACAGCCGCAUGAAGACCCGCCUGAGCUGAUCUCUCCACUGUGCAAGGUGGGUUUGAACCAUCACCUCUCUCUCUGUGUUGCUGUGACCUUCGUUGGCCAACGCUCAGGUGCACCUAAUGGCUUUUUCAGCAAUUUUGAUUCUGGAAGUUAUUUGAUCUGCUAAAUUAAGUCUCUCUCUCUCUCUCUCUCUCUCUCUCUCUCCCCGUGCUGCUUAACGGUAACAGCGUUGGAUACUUGUGCGUAAUUCUUCCGGAUUUUAGCCCACAAAUGACUGUCACUACUUGUGGGGUCUUGGUGAAGAGCUAUCUGUAAAAAAUGGGUUUGGGUAGGUUUUAGAGAGGAAGAAAACGAGGGGAAGGGGGAACGAUAAACUCAACUUUAAACAGAAAAAGUAGAUAGAAAGGAAAGCUGAAAAAGAAGAAGUCGAAGAUGGGAAAAGGGAAGAGUGUUGAAGACAACAAAAGUAGGACUUUUCUAUUUCUUUUUCUUUUACAGCAACAAUAAAAAAAGAAGAAAAUAAAACGAAUCAAUUAAGCAAAAUACUGUCAUUCAACUUUGAUCCUCUUUUAGUAGGAUUUACUCAGAGCAAAGCUGAGGAUCCUUAAACUGUAAGUCUCGGUUUUUAGAGGUUUUCAUUACGGAAGUAGUCAAAGUCAAUAACAGUUGGCUUUAUCAUUUGAUAUUGGUUGUCCUAUUGAAUUUAGUCUAAAAGGUUGUACUCUAGUAGUCAUGGCUAAUCCUUUGAAGCAAUAUUUUACGUCACUGUGAUCAAGGUUGCAAGGCUUCAAAAACAUAUCAUGCAGCUUGAAAAGCGCAAAAUUUUACACUGUUUAUCAUUAUCUGUGUCAAGACUUGCUUGCAAUUCGAACAUAGUAAGGGCGUGAAGCAAGGUGAACUCGGUAGUUCAUUUUAGAUAGUUUUCUAUAGCACAUUUUCAAAAUUGAAAUCAAAAGCCCUCUGGAACUUAAUGUUGGAAUCCAAAGAAAACACUACCUCCUUUUUCGCAGCAACCGGGGUUUUUUCUUUAAGAAUCUGCGACUAAAGGAGGGCGUUCUUGUAAGAUUGAAUUGCCAUCAGGCCGUAGGUCUCUGUACUUGUUUGGAUUUGGAGGCUUCAGAGGGACCUUCAUUCUACCAUCUGUGCAUUUUAUACAAAACAAUGCAAAAUAUGUUUGUGCCA